rnacentral:rRNA from 2 species
CUUCUCUGAUAGUUAGCGGCGGACGGGUGAGUAACACGUGGGUAACCUACCUAUAAGACUGGGAUAACUCCGGGAAACCGGGGCUAAUACCGGAUAAUAUUUUGAACCGCAUGGUUCAAUAGUGAAAGACGGUUUCGGCUGUCACUUAUAGAUGGACCCGCGCCGUAUUAGCUAGUUGGUAAGGUAACGGCUUACCAAGGCGACGAUACGUAGCCGACCUGAGAGGGUGAUCGGCCACACUGGAACUGAGACACGGUCCAGACUCCUACGGGAGGCAGCAGUAGGGAAUCUUCCGCAAUGGGCGAAAGCCUGACGGAGCAACGCCGCGUGAGUGAUGAAGGUCUUCGGAUCGUAAAACUCUGUUGUUAGGGAAGAACAAAUUUGUUAGUAACUGAACAAGUCUUGACGGUACCUAACCAGAAAGCCACGGCUAACUACGUGCCAGCAGCCGCGGUAAUACGUAGGUGGCAAGCGUUAUCCGGAAUUAUUGGGCGUAAAGCGCGCGUAGGCGGUUUCUUAAGUCUGAUGUGAAAGCCCACGGCUCAACCGUGGAGGGUCAUUGGAAACUGGGAAACUUGAGUGCAGAAGAGGAGAGUGGAAUUCCAUGUGUAGCGGUGAAAUGCGCAGAGAUAUGGAGGAACACCAGUGGCGAAGGCGGCUCUCUGGUCUGUAACUGACGCUGAUGUGCGAAAGCGUGGGGAUCAAACAGGAUUAGAUACCCUGGUAGUCCACGCCGUAAACGAUGAGUGCUAAGUGUUAGGGGGUUUCCGCCCCUUAGUGCUGCAGCUAACGCAUUAAGCACUCCGCCUGGGGAGUACGAC